CAGUCCCACGGUAACACGUAGGUGGCAAGCGUUGUCCGGAAUUAUUGGGCGUAAAGGGCUCGCAGGCGGUUUCUUAAGUCUGAUGUGAAAGCCCCCGGCUCAACCGGGGAGGGCCAUUGGAAACUGGGAAACUUGAGUGCAGAAGAGGAGAGUGGAAUUCCACGUGUAGCGGUGAAAUGCGUAGAGAUGUGGAGGAACACCAGUGGCGAAGGCGACUCUCUGGUCUGUAACUGACGCUGAGGAGCGAAAGCGUGGGGAGCGAACAGGAUUAGAUACCCCCGUAGUCCCUGUUUCUUAUACC
rnacentral:rRNA from 1 species